CACACCAUAUUUUCAGAUUUGUUCGCUUUGAACUGAUGAAGAACCGUGAGUGCAGAUAGGCGCGCCUCAGUGUAAGAAAGCGGCGCCUUUUUUGAAUUUGGUGUUAAAAACCUGAGGAUAGCGCAGCUGAACGCUACUACGAUUAUCCAUCCGGACGAGACAGCAUAAUUGUAAUCGAACUUCACGUAAGUUCGUUUAAUUAAUCAAUUAUAUAGAUAAUGGAAACUUUAUACGUCAUAUAGCAAAACUCCAUGAAGAAAUUUGGAAAUACGAAGUAGAGGGAAAACUAAGAAAACGGUCAUGAAUGUAUUUCAAGUAUUCAAACCAAUUAUUUUCACAAUGUAUUAUCUGUGAUUCAAAAGUUCUAUCUACAUCUAAAUUUGUAGGAGAUCACUUGAAUUUGCAUUCUAAAGAACAACAGAACAGCCAUACAUUUCAAAGUUGGACAGAAAAAUAUUGGAUACAAAGAAAUGAUUUUGUGGUGAAGUGUAAUAUUUGUUACGACAAUUUACCUCUUUCUAUUCAGGAAUGUCUAGAUUCUCAUAUAAAUGAGACGCACUCGGACAAAUUAAAAAAUACGCAAAAAACACAUGACCUAGUUGGUUCAUCAGAUCGCAUUUCAUCACAUGAAACGGACACAACGUUUAUGUCACUAAAGAGUUGACUAUAUACGAAGGUACAUACCAAAAGUCACGAUUGAAGUAAAAUGUAAUAUUUGUCAUAGAAGCAUCUCUGUUGCUAUUAGAACGCAUUUCAAUGACCAUAUUAAAAAUGAACAUCAUUUGGCAAGCCAAAUAAACUGAAAAAAAUUGUAUUCAUCCUCCCCCAGAAGAUGACAUGAUAGAAAUGAGUAUGAUGAUAAUGGCGUCCAAGUACCAAUCAGCAAUAAUGGCAGUUUUAAUUUUGACUAUUUUUGUUUACUAAAAGAUAUAUCCA